CCCAAGCUUGCUUGGGUACUCGAGUGGCGAACGGGUGAGUAACACGUGGGUGAUCUGCCCUGCACUUCGGGAUAAGCCUGGGAAACUGGGUCUAAUACCGGAUAGGACCACAUUUUGGAUGGUGUGGUGGAAAGUUUUUCGGUGUGGGAUGAGCUCGCGGCCUAUCAGCUUGUUGGUGGGGUAAUGGCCUACCAAGGCGUCGACGGGUAGCCGGCCUGAGAGGGUGUACGGCCACAUUGGGACUGAGAUACGGCCCAGACUCCUACAGGAGGCAGCAGUGGGGAAUAUUGCACAAUGGGCGCAAGCCCGAUGCAGCGACGCCGCGUGGGGGAUGACGGCCUUCGGGUUGUAAACUCCUUUCGCUAGGGACGAAGCGCAAGUGACGGUACCUGGAGAAGAAGCACCGGCUAACUACGUGCCAGCAGCCGCGGUAAUACGUAGGGUGCGAGCGUUGUCCGGAAUUACUGGGCGUAAAGAGCUCGUAGGUGGUUUGUCGCGUCGUUUGUGUAAGCCCGCAGCUUAACUGCGGGACUGCAGGCGAUACGGGCAUAACUUGAGUGCUGUAGGGGAGACUGGAAUUCCUGGUGUAGCGGUGGAAUGCGCAGAUAUCAGGAGGAACACCGAUGGCGAAGGCAGGUCUCUGGGCAGUAACUGACGCUGAGGAGCGAAAGCAUGGGUAGCGAACAGGAUUAGAUACCCUGGUAGUCCAUGCCGUAAACGGUGGGCGCUAGGUGUGAGUCCCUUCCACGGGGUUCGUGCCGCAGCUAACGCAUUAAGCGCCCCGCCUGGGGAGUACGGCCGCAAGGCUAAAACUCAAAGGAAUUGACGGGGGCCCGCACAAGCGGCGGAGCAUGUGGAUUAAUUCGAUGCAACGCGAAGAACCUUACCUGGGCUUGACAUACACCAGAUCGCCGUAGAGAUACGGUUUCCCUUUGUGGUUGGUGUACAGGUGGUGCAUGGUUGUCGUCAGCUCGUGCCGUGAGAUGUUGGGUUAAGUCCCGCAACGAGCGCAACCCUUGUCUUAUGUUGCCAGCAAUUCGGUUGGGGACUCGUGAGAGACUGCCGGGGUUAAC
rnacentral:rRNA from 1 species